rnacentral:pre_miRNA from 1 species
AACAUAUGACGCCAUUGACUUUUUAUCAAUAUUUUAUCAUUCGUCUUAUUUAAAAGAUUUAUGUUACUAUCAUUUAUUUUAUCAUGACUUGAUUUAUUAUCUAAUGUUUUUUAAACGUGACAUAUAUUUUUUAAUAUUUGCAUAAAAAUUUUAAAUAAGACGAAUGAUCAAACAUUGAUUAAAAAAAUCAAUGGCGUCAUACAUU